CAGUAGAAACACUUUAGCACAGCACACCACCCAGGCAACAAGGCAACAAGGUCUACUAAACAGCAUCAAACAGGUCACAUAUGUAUCAGCACAACACGGUCUAAUCAAUAAGGCUCUAUUCCACAAAUGGGUAAGAUGUAUUUGUAUAUGUCAAUGUAUAUCCUUCUUUUCUUUAUGUACACCUUUCGCGAACCUUUAAGGGUUACCAAAUAUUUAUCUGGCUGUAUGUCAUGUUAAUUGUGAACUUUAUUGUCUGUCAGAUAUGUGUACAUAUUUUUGUAAUUUAACAUUAUUUGGGCAAAUGUGUUAUUUGGCAAUGAAUUAUCUCCCUUGGUGUCACAACCAACGUUGUGCAUAUAGUUUCAUGCUAUUAAUAUUUCCUUUAACAGUUUAUAAUGUGGUAUAAUUCACAUGUGUAAAUGUUAGACUACAGAAUUAAUUGUGGUAAGCUAAUUGUGAUACCUAUGCAAAACAUUAUGCAAUGUGUACAUGUUUCUAAGAAUUUUAUGUGUGUUUCAGGGCUUGAAGUAUGAUAUAUAGUAUCUGAAUAAACCGCACCUCACCCCUA